GACGAACGCUGGCGGCGUGCUUAACACAUGCAAGUCGAACGGAAAGGCCCUGCUUUUGUGGGGUGCUCGAGUGGCGAACGGGUGAGUUACACGUGAGUAUCCUGCCCUUGACUUUGGGAUAACUUCAGGAAACUGGGGCUAAUACCGGAUAGGAGCUCCUGCUGCAUGGUGGGGGUUGGAAAGUUUCGGCGGUGGGAGAUGGACUCGCGGCUUAUCAGCUUGUUGGUGGGGUAGUGGCUUACCAAGGCUUUGACGGGUAGCCCGACUGCGAGGGUGACCGGCAGAAUUCGGACGGAGGCACGGGUCGGGAACCUUCGGGAAGGGGCAGAAGGGUAAUCUAGACAAUGCGCGGGAAGCACGAAGGGCAUCGGGGCGUGAAGGGUGUCUGCCUGGGACGAAAAGGCCGCUGUCAACUGUGGCGGCGCAUGAGGGAACCUAAUGGAUAAGCAAGGGCCGACUAAGUG
rnacentral:rRNA from 1 species